GAUUAACGCUGGCGGCGUGCAUAACACAUGCAAGUCGAACGAUGAAACUCAUUAGAUUUCUUCGGAAUGAAAAUGAAUGGCUUAGUGGCGACCGGGUGAGUAACGCGUGAGUAACCUGCCUUACACAAGGGGAUAGCCUCUGGAAACGGAGAAUAAUACCCUAUGAAACCAGACAAUCGCAUGAUAAUCUGGUCAAAAUGUUUAGUGGUGUAAGAUGGACUUGCGUCUGAUUAGCUAGUUGGUGAGAUAAAAGCUCACCAAGGCAACGAUCAGUAGCCGGCUUGAGAGAGUGUACGGCCACAUUGGGACUGAGACACGGCCCAGACUCCUACGGGAGGCAGCAGUGGGGAAUUUUGAACAAUGGGGGAAACCUUGAGGUAGCGACGCCGCGUGAUUUAGAAGGCCUUCGGGUUGUAAAAAUCUUUUGUAUAGGAAGAACAUGACAGUACUAUACGAAUAAGGUCCGGCUAAUUACGUG
rnacentral:rRNA from 1 species